rnacentral:rRNA from 1 species
UUGGCGGACGGGGGAGUAACGCGUGGGUAACCUGCCUUGUACUGGGGGACGAACAGUUGGAAACGACUGCUAAUACCGCAUAAGCGCACAGCUUCGCAUGAAGCGGUGUGAAAAACUCCGGUGGUACAAGAUGGACCCGCGUCUGAUUAGCUGGUUGGUGAGGUAACGGCCCACCAAGGCAACGAUCAGUAGCCGGCCUGAGAGGGUGAACGGCCACAUUGGGACUGAGACACGGCCCAA